rnacentral:lncRNA from 1 species
AUUUAAUUUUGAAUCCCCUGAGUAAUUGUUAGUAAAUAGUUGAGUGCUUAUAUUAGAAAAUAGUUUCUAUACUUUUAAAGCAGUCUUGAUAUAUGGAAAAAGGAAGAUCACCAACUUAUAAUCUAGAGAAAAAAGUAGCAAACUGGAUGAACCAACAACUAAAAGCCUAUCAAUAUACAGUACCACCUUCGGAAGAAUUUGUAAAAAAGAUAAGAUCACUCCGCAUCGAAGGUGACGAGAUUCUCACAACUUACGAUUUUGAGAAGCUAUACCCUGCGCUUAAUAUAACCCCAGCCUGUAUAAACCUAUACAGGUUUUUCUUGGAGAACAUACCAGACACCUCUACACACACACAUACACCC